UAGGGAAUCUUCGGCAAUGGGGGGAACCCUGACCGAGCAACGCCGCGUGAGUGAAGAAGGUUUUCGGAUCGUAAAGCUCUGUUGUUAAGGAAGAACGAGUGUGAGAAUGGAAAGUUCAUACUGUGACGGUACUUAACCAGAAAGGGACGGCUAACUACGUGCCAGCAGCCGCGGUAAUACGUAGGUCCCGAGCGUUGUCCGGAUUUAUUGGGCGUAAAGCGAGCGCAGGCGGUUAGAUAAGUCUGAAGUUAAAGGCAGUGGCUCAACCAUUGUAGGCUUUGGAAACUGUUUAACUUGAGUGCAGAAGGGGAGAGUGGAAUUCCAUGUGUAGCGGUGAAAUGCGUAGAUAUAUGGAGGAACACCAGUGGCGAAGGCGACUCUCUGGUCUGUAACUGACGCUGAGGCUCGAAAGCGUGGGUAGCAAACAGG
rnacentral:rRNA from 1 species